rnacentral:rRNA from 1 species
UACGAAGGGGGCUAGCGUUGCUCGGAAUCACUGGGCGUAAAGCGCACGUAGGCGGCUUUUUAAGUCAGGGGUGAAAUCCUGGAGCUCAACUCCAGAACUGCCUUUGAUACUGAGAAGCUUGAGUCCGGGAGAGGUGAGUGGAACUGCGAGUGUAGAGGUGAAAUUCGUAGAUAUUCGCAAGAACACCAGUGGCGAAGGCGGCUCACUGGCCCGGUACUGACGCUGAGGUGCGAAAGCGUAGGGAGCAAACAGG